AAGUCGUAACAAGGUUUCCGUAGGUGAACCUGCGGAAGGAUCAUUAACGAGUUAGGAUCUCUCUGGCCCGACCUCCCAACCCUUUGUCUACUUGACCAUCGUUGCUUCGGCGAGCCCGUCCUCAGGACCGCCGGAGGGACCUUUACUGGCCCUCUGGUCCGCGCUCGUCGGUAGCCCAACCUUUAAAAUCUUUAACUAAACGUGCCUUAAUCUAAGUACAAUUAUUAAAUAAAAGCAAAACUUUCAACAACGGAUCUCUUGGUUCUGGCAUCGAUGAAGAACGCAGCGAAAUGCGAUAAGUAAUGCGAAUUGCAGAAUUCCAGUGAGUCAUCGAAUCUUUGAACGCACAUUGCGCCCUUUGGUAUUCCGAAGGGCAUGCCUGUUCGAGCGUCAUUAUCACCCCUCAAGCCCCUGGCUUGGUGUUGGACGGUUUGGUGGAGAUCCCCUCGGGGGCUCCUGCCCCUCCCAAAGACAAUGACGGCGGCCUCGUUGGACCCCCGGUACACUGAGUUCUUCACGGGACACGUAUCGGACACAUGGGUUUACGGGACACGGUCUGCCUCCCCUCAGGGAGAAUCUUUCUAAGGUUGACCUCGGAUCAGGUAGGGAUACCCGCUGAACUUAA
rnacentral:rRNA from 1 species